UCAGACGGCCGGGCGGUCGCGGCCCUCCUUCGGGCGGGUCGAGGAAAGUCCGGGCUCCACGACGGCAUGGCGGCGGGUAACGCCCGCCGGGGGCGACCCCAGGGAUAGCGCCACAGAAAGCAAACCGCCCGGCGAAGCCUCGUGCGGAGCAGGGUAAGGGUGAAAGGGUGGGGUAAGAGCCCACCGGGUCGCUGGUGACAGAGGCCGCAUGGCAAGCCCCGCCAGGAGCAAGACCGAAUAGGGAUUCCGCGCCGGCGCCUCUCCUUCGGGAAAGGGGCCGGUAGGGCCGCCGCCGGCCCGAGGGAUCCGGGUAGGUCGCGAGAACCGGUCCGCGAGGGCCGGUCCAGAGGAAUGAUCGCCGCGCUCCGCCCUCGGGCGGGGCGGCACAGAACCCGGCUUACAGGCCGUCUGAUCCC
rnacentral:RNase_P_RNA from 3 species